rnacentral:rRNA from 1 species
AGUGAACGCUGGCGGUAGGCCUAACACAUGCAAGUCGAACGGCAGCACAGUAAGAGCUUGCUCUUACGGGUGGCGAGUGGCGGACGGGUGAGGAAUACAUCGGCAUCUACUUUUUCGUGGGGGAUAACGUAGGGAAACUUACGCUAAUACCGCAUACGACCUACGGGUGAAAGCAGGGGAUCUUCGGACCUUGCGCGAUUGAAUGAGCCGAUGUCGGAUUAGCUAGUUGGCGGGGUAAAGGCCCACCAAGGCGACGAUCCGUAGCUGGUCUGAGAGGAUGAUCAGCCACACUGGAACUGAGACACGGUCCAGACUCCUACGGGAGGCAGCAGUGGGGAAUAUUGGACAAUGGGCGCAAGCCUGAUCCAGCAAUACCGCGUGGGUGAAGAAGGCCUUCGGGUUGUAAAGCCCUUUUGUUGGGAAAGAAAAGCAGCAGGUGAAUACCCCGCUGUUCUGACGGUACCCAAAGAAUAAGCACCGGCUAACUUCGUG